rnacentral:rRNA from 1 species
AUUGAACGCUGGCGGCAGGCCUAAUACAUGCAAGUCGAACGGUAACAUGAAAAAAGCUUGCUUUUUUUGAUGACGAGUGGCGGACGGGUGAGUAAGGUUUGGGAAACUGCCUGAUAGAGGGGGACAACAGUUGGAAACGACUGCUAAUACCGCAUACAGCCGAGAGGUGAAAGGAGCAAUCCGCUAUCAGAUGUGCCCAAAUGGGAUUAGCUAGUAGGUGAGGUAAAGGCUCACCUAGGCGACGAUCUCUAGCUGGUCUGAGAGGAUGAUCAGCCACAUUGGGACUGAGACACGGCCCAGACUCCUACGGGAGGCAGCAGUAGGGAAUAUUGGGCAAUGGGGGGAAACCCUGACCCAGCAACGCCGCGUGAAGGAAGAAGG